GAUGAACGCUGGCGGCGUGCUUAACACAUGCAAGUCGAACGGGAAUUCUUUUAUUGAAACUUCGGUCGAUUUAAUUUAAUUCUAGUGGCGGACGGGUGAGUAACGCGUGGGUAACCUGCCUUAUACAGGGGGAUAACAGUCAGAAAUGGCUGCUAAUACCGCAUAAGCGCACAGAGCUGCAUGGCUCAGUGUGAAAAACUCCGGUGGUAUAAGAUGGACCCGCGUUGGAUUAGCUUGUUGGCAGGGUAACGGCCUACCAAGGCGACGAUCCAUAGCCGGCCUGAGAGGGUGAACGGCCACAUUGGGACUGAGACACGGCCCAGACUCCUACGGGAGGCAGCAGUGGGGAAUAGUGCACAAUGGGGGAAACCCUGAUGCAGCGACGCCGCGUGAAGGAAGAAGUAUCUCGGUAUGUAAACUUCUAUCAGCAGGGAAGAUAGUGACGGUACCUGACUAAGAAGCCCCGGCUAACUACGUG
rnacentral:rRNA from 1 species